UAAUACCGGAUACUCCUUCUUGUUAUAAGACAAGUCGGGAAAGUUUUUCGCUAAGGGAUCAGUCUAUGUUCCAUCAGCUUGUUGGUGAGGUAAUGGCUCACCAAGGCUAUGACGGAUAUCUGGUUUGAGAGGAUGAUCAGACACACUGGAACUGAGACACGGUCCAGACUCCUACGGGAGGCAGCAGUGAGGAAUAUUGCACAAUGGAGGAAACUCUGAUGCAGCAACGCCGCGUGGAGGAUGACGCAUUUCGGUGUGUAAACUCCUUUUAUUAGGGAAGAUAAUGACGGUACCUAAUGAAUAAGCACCGGCUAACUCCGUGCCAGCAGCCGCGGUAAUACGGAGGGUGCAAGCGUUACUCGGAAUCACUGGGCGUAAAGGGUGCGUAGGCUGGCUUUUAAGUCAGAUGUGAAAUCCAAUGGCUCAACCAUUGAACUGCAUUUGAAACUGAAAGCCUAGAGUUCAGAAGGGGCAGAUGGAAUUAGUGGUGUAGGGGUAAAAUCCGUAGAUAUCACUAGGAAUAUCAAAAGCGAAGGCGAUCUGCUGGGAUGAUACUGACG
rnacentral:rRNA from 1 species